GCCAGACUCCUACGGGAGGCAGCAGUGGGGAAUAUUGCACAAUGGGGGAAACCCUGAUGCAGCGACGCCGCGUGAGUGAAGAAGUAUUUCGGUAUGUAAAGCUCUAUCAGCAGGGAAGAUAAUGACGGUACCUGACUAAGAAGCCCCGGCUAACUACGUGCCAGCAGCCGCGGUAAUACGUAGGGGGCAAGCGUUAUCCGGAUUUACUGGGUGUAAAGGGUGCGCAGGUGGCAGGGCAAGUCAGAUGUGAAAGCCCGGGGCUCAACCCCGGUAUUGCAUUUGAAACUGUCCGGCUAGAGUGCAGGAGAGGUAAGCGGAAUUCCUAGUGUAGCGGUGAAAUGCGUAGAUAUUAGGAGGAACACCAGUGGCGAAGGCGGCUUACUGGACUGUAACUGACACUGAGGCACGAAAGCGUGGGGAGCAAACAGGAUUAGAUACCCUAGUA
rnacentral:rRNA from 1 species